rnacentral:rRNA from 1 species
AGCUGAUCAUUGGGGCUAAAGCGUGCGCAGGCGGUUUUGUAAGACAGAGGUGAAAUCCCCGGGCUCAACCUGGGAACUGCCUUUGUGACUGCAAGGCUGGAGUGCGGCAGAGGGGGAUGGAAUUCCGCGUGUAGCAGUGAAAUGCGUAGAUAUGCGGAGGAACACCGAUGGCGAAGGCAAUCCCCUGGGCCUGCACUGACGCUCAUGCACGAAAGCGUGGGGAGCAAACA